CUCUGUCGAGCCAGAAGUAUUGAAGCAACAUCCUGUUUUGGAUCAGCUCGCUCGGCUUUUUGCACAGUUGCAUGCUAGUAAAAUGGCUUUUAUUGACUCAGCUCCAUUUAUAAAGACGCUGGAGUUAGAUAAUGGGGUUCAACAGGAUAGCCUUGAGUUCUUGACCUUACUUCUUUCCUUGCUUGAGCGUUGUCUAAGCCAUUCUAAAGUUUCCAAAGCAAGAACUGUUGUUCAAGAUCUCUUCCGUGGAAGUGUGUCACAUGUAACAAUGUGCUCAAAAUGUG
rnacentral:misc_RNA from 1 species